UAACAGAUCCACCCACUUUGGAGACCAGUCCUGGCAGCUGCUACAACCUGACUCAGAAACUUCUUGAUAAUACUUGAGCAGUUUCCCAGUACUACAGCAAGUACUGCAGGGUCCUGAGGAUUGUGCCGGGGGGCCUUCUGCAUAUGAUACAAAUGAGCUUGAUUGACAAGUGAGUCAUCAGGACCAUCUGACGCCAGGAGGGAUACAUUCAUUUGCAAGUAAACUAUUAUUACAAUCAUCGGACUUUAUACUAAUAGAUUUUGAAUGACAUGGUC
ensembl:lncRNA PCYT1B-AS1 PCYT1B antisense RNA 1